GAUGAACGCUGGCGGCGUGCUUAACACAUGCAAGUCGAACGGAAAGGCCCUACUUUUGUGCUGUGCCCGAUUGCCGAACGCGUGCGUAUCACGUGUGUAACCUGCUCUUCAUUUUGGGAUAACUUCAGGUAACUGGGGCUACUAUCGUAUCGGAUCCCCUGUUGCAUGGUGGGGGGUGGAUAGUCUCGGCGGUUGGGGAUGGACUCGCGGCUUAUCAGCUUGGUGGUGGGGUAGUGGCAUACCCAGUCUGUGACGGGUACCUGACCUGAGAGGGGGAACGGCGACAUUGGGACUGAGAUACGGCGCAGACUCCUACGGGAGGCAACAGUGGGGAAUAUUACACAAUGAGCGGGAGCCUGAUGCAGCAACGCCGCGUGCGGGAUGACGGCCUGCGGGUUGAAAACCGCUUUCGCCUGUGACGAAGCGUGAGUGACGGUAAUGAGUGAAGAAGCACCGGCUAACUACGUG
rnacentral:rRNA from 1 species